AUUUUGGAAACAAUUGAUAUCCCAAAAGCAAAUAAAGCCAACAAUGACAAGGAUUAAAGAAAGGUUAAAGAAAAUCAAUGAUGGCAAGCAAUUUCGUGUCGAACUGAACAACAAGAAUCCCCAAACAACUCCAAAGAAACCUACAAGGAAGACACCGAAAGCAAGUAGUAGUUUUAGUUUUGGAGAAGCCUCGUAGAUGCACAACCA